UCCGACAUAGCUCAAUCGGUAGAGCGGCUCCCUGUUAAGGAGAAGGUUAUAGGUUCGAGCCCUAUUGUUGGAGCCA
rnacentral:tRNA from 1 species